CGUGUAGGCGGCUUUGCAAGUCGGGUGUGAAAGCCCUCGGCUCAACCGAGGAAGUGCGCCCGAAACUGCAGAGCUUGAGUGCCGGAGAGGGUGGCGGAAUUCCCCAAGUAGAGGUGAAAUUCGUAGAUAUGGGGAGGAACACCGGUGGCGAAGGCGGCCACCUGGACGGUAACUGACGCUGAGACGCGAAAGCGUGGGGAGCAAACAG
rnacentral:rRNA from 1 species